rnacentral:piRNA from 1 species
UCCAAAGGCCUGCUUCUGAAGCCCCUC